UAGGGAAUCUUCGGCAAUGGGGGGAACCCUGACCGAGCAACGCCGCGUGAGUGAAGAAGGUUUUCGGAUCGUAAAGCUCUGUUGUUAAGGAAGAACGAGUGUGAGAAUGGAAAGUUCAUGCUGUGACGGUACUUAACCAGAAAGGGACGGCUAACUACGUGCCAGCAGCCGCGGUAAUACGUAGGUCCCGAGCGUUGUCCGGAUUUAUUGGGCGUAAAGCGAGCGCAGGCGGUUAGAAAAGUCUGAAGUGAAAGGCAGUGGCUCAACCAUUGUAGGCUUUGGAAACUGUUUAACUUGAGUGCAGAAGGGGAGAGUGGAAUUCCAUGUGUAGCGGUGAAAUGCGUAGAUAUAUGGAGGAACACAGGUGGCGAAAGCGGCUCUCUGGUCUGUAACUGACGCUGAGGCUCGAAAGCGUGGGGAGCGAACAGG
rnacentral:rRNA from 1 species